CUCGUUUUAUCUCAUCUCCCCAAAAGAGGGGUUUUAAAGGUUUGUGAGGAAUGUGGCUGCUUGUAGCGUCAGCAGCCUUGCUGGUCAGAGCUUUCCCUCCAGCCUGCAUUCAGCCUUGGGAGGAGGAGAAGGAGAUAACAAAUCCAGGUGGCUGUCCUUGGCUGUGUCUGUCUCCAUGGCAGACAGUGGAUUCUGGAGCCAGGGAGUAAGCAGGGAAAGAGUGAUUUGGUUUUCACCCCAUAUAUGCUGGCUUUAAUGUAGGGGAACUGAUAUCAGGGCCGGCAUCAUUCGGGCAUUAAAACCAUGGAAUUGAGGCAUAGGAAACUAUGCUUUAAAAUAAUAAUUAUCCUUUAAUAAAUAUUAUUAUUAUUAUUAGGAUGAGCCAAGAAAGGAAGCUCUGGUUCAAAGACUCAGAAAUUAUAAUGAAGGCAUUAUGAAUAUUUGGGUCAAGAACUUGAGUAAAAAACAAGCAAAAGCGUGGAAGCACACUUGCCGACUCUGCCUGCAUCUGGGGUUUUAACUAAGUUACGGGAGGACUAUCUGUUCUCUCACUCCCUUUAUUUCUUUAGUCACACGGAAAUGUUUCAAGGCAAGGGGUGUGUCAUUUUUCUUUGUGUGGCUAGUGCUUGACACAAAGUUAUGGUCUCUCAAUUUGACUGGAUUUUUUUUUAUGUGGGGCGAUGAUGCUAAGUCCUUUUGUUUUUUUUAGAUUGGCACUUGAGCCAACAUCUGUUGACAAUCUUUUUUGUUUUAUUUCUUCUUCUUCUCCCCUGAGCCGCCAGUACAUAGUUGUAUACUCUGGUUGUGCUGUGUGGCAGGUUGCUUCAGCAUGUCCUGAUGAGCAGUGCCAUGUCCCCUCCAAGGAUCCUAACCGGUGAAACCCUGGGCCGGGGAAGCGGAGCGCCUGAACUUAACCACUCGUCCUCAGGGCGGCCCCUGGAUUUCUCAGGUCACCCAAACUAUCGAUAAACACAGACAAUUCCCUCAUAUGUUCAGACAAAGUGAAGGGGGGAAAAAUCAAAGAAAAAACUCCCACCUCGGGCGCUGGGGAUUCUGGGGGCUGUAGUUCCGACGCCCGGCUGCGCAGGCGCACUGGCGUGCCUGGCGGCCGGCCCAGCCGAACCAGCGCCAUUGCUGGAAGCGUUCCCGCCCUGCUCUGCGAAUGCCCUCAGUUGUCCUCAGUUCGGCCGCCAGGGGUCUCCUUGCGCUGGUUGGGAAACGCUGGCCUGGUCCACGGCGCUGACGUUCUCAGCAAGAACUGCUCCCUUCGCAGUUUAAACGCCACUACGUGGCUUAGGAGCCACAGCAGGUGAAGUUUCUCCUGAAGUCUCGAUACUUCUGCAAAGCUUGGCAGGACAGGGCUUGAGUGAAGUCACAACAUCCGGAAAAAAUACCUAGGAAGUUAUGACUGGGGGGAAACACCGGCCUAGAUAUUUUCUGCGUAUUGUCAAAGGCGAAAGCAGUCACAUAGAAUGUGGUUAGCCUCAUUUGCUAGCAACUUAGCUGAUUGACUGUGCUCCAGUGACUUGCCUAUAAUCAUGUUAACGCAGUAGCCAAACCAAGAUUAGCACCUGGGGGUAUGGACAGCUACUCUGGAAUUUUAUUCCUAUACCAAACUCCUAUGUAUAUGUGGGUACUUGUCUGCUUGGAAAGUAUGGAAAAGUAGAAAGAAGGAUAAAUAUCACAGGCCUAGGUCUCAGUAAAGUCUGGCUUACUCGCAGUCUUUUUCUCGAUGCAUUAUUUUCACACAGUGGAGAUCCAACUGAGUAUAUUGAAUGUUAAAUAGCGUUGUUUAUUCUGAUUAUGAAAGGAAAAAGAUGUUUAUUGCACGGUUUGGUUGUUAAAGGUAUUUGACUGGUAUUAUCUAUAUGGCAUAUUACCAAGGAGGAGUUUAUUACUCUUUACAAAUUUAAAAAGAAAUGAUGACUCGGCGUUCUUAAUGAGUUUUAAAGAUGCAGUUCCAGGAAAUUGAAAAUGUCCUCAGUUGCUCUUUGGUGGUCUCCUUUUGUGUUUGGGAAAAAUGGUUUUUAUUAUUCCUCUUAGCCCAUUUUUCCUUUCCAACCUUGUAAAGCUGGACUUCUUAACUUGGGGUCAGCACUUGAGACUUCAAUAUAGGAAUCCUCUCAGAUUAUUCUUUCUUUAAGUCUUAUCUCUACACUGUGAUUUUCCUCCCUCAACUUCUUAUUCUUUCUCUUCCACCAAAACCUUUUCAUUGUGCCUAGUGAAACCCCAGUGUCAUGGAACAAACUACUCUACGUGCUUAAGAUGUUCACGUUUUCUCGAUUUAACUAAACCCUGCUCUCCCCUGCUUAC
rnacentral:lncRNA from 1 species